GCCGUGUGGCGUGGCAGCAGUGUGCUUCCCUGUCGACUGUUCGCUGCAAGUGCUGAGGCCCACUUGAGCAGCAGAAAAACACAAUGGGACCCGGGGAGAAGCUCUGAUCUGAGUGGAGAUCCUUUUGUGUGCUGUACUCACUGAGGCAGGCAAUUCUACACCUGGACGGGGUCCUCUGAGACCACGCAGCCCAGCCUUGGUUCCCAGAGUUUUGCCUGAAAAUCAGGACUCCUGCCCUCAUGCCAGGAUUCCAGGCCCAGGAAAUAACUAAACUGAAAGAAAGAGUGACAACUGCCAGAGCAGCGUUCCUUACACAGCAGGACUGGUUCUCCAUUGGGAGGGAUAGAACUCUGUUAGGCCAAUGGAGUGGUGACUUUCCCACCACCCCAUCAAUCAUCAAGGUGGAACUGACAAAGGACAGCGACUCAGCUUCCAUCGCAGCAGGAACUAGAGAUUCUUGGCUUAGGGGAGCCAGGUGCCUCACUUUUCUGGGCUUGUUGCCACCAACUGAGUGGAUUUCAAAUCUUGAGCUGCCUUUCAGCUGGCUCUCUGCUGAUAUGGCUGGGGUGAAACUGAAGCGGGACCUUCACGCAGUGCCUGAAGAAGCUAGAGAAGCUAGUCAGUCACCCUGCUCUUCCUUGCCUCUCAAGAGGAGCUCUUAUGAGCUGGGAAAUUCCUUCUUGGCACUGAACGAUGCUGGCUUGGGGGCAUGGGUGGGAUGAUAGAGGCAAAAUGAAGUUGUCUUCCUUCUCUUCUGAGAUUAUUCUUAGCUUUUUUUGUUCCAUGAUAUUGCUAAAACUUCCCAAGUGGAUUCUAGAGGUCUGGAGUUGUUUUUGUUUGCAGAUAGCUGUCUAAUUGUUGAUCUUUGUGGGGGGGCUGGGGAAGCUGAGAUUCCUACGUCACCAUUUUUUUCCUCAGAAUCCUAAAACUUUUAAGUUUUUUUAGUAAGGUUGUAAGAUACAAAAUCAAAAAGUAAAAAUCAACUGUAUUUUCUUACACUAGCCAUGAACAGUCAGCAGUUGGAUUAUUUAAAAAUACUAUUUAUAAUAUUGAAAAAUAUGAAAUAUUUAGAAACUAAUCUGACAAAUGAUAUGCAAGACCUGUCCACUGAAAACCAUAAAACUUUACUGAGAGAAAUUAGAGAGGAUCAAAGUAAUUCAAGACUAUAUCUGGAUUAGAAUGAGUAGUGUUGCUAAAAUGCCAGUUCUCCCCAAAUUGCUGGGUAGAUUGAAUACAAUCCCAACAAAAAUUUCAACAGGCUUUUUUGUGUAGAAAUGUACAAGCCAAUGUUAAAAUUUAUAUGGCAAUGUAGAAGACCUAGAAUUGUCAAAAUAGCUUUGAAAAAAGACAAAAUACUAACAGUACCCGAUUCUAAAACUUAUUAUAAAUCUAUAGUAAUCAAGAUGGUAUGUAAAUUUAGACAGAUAAAGAGUCCAGAAUAGACAUAUAGAUGUGUGUGUGUGUGUGUGUGUGUGUGUGUAAGUGAAACUUGAAAAAUAAGUAGAAUUGCCAGGGUUUUCCAGCAGAUGGGACAGUGUGAGGGAAUGCCUUGUGGUGAGGAAGAGGAGGAAUUCUUUGAAGAACUCUUCUAGAAGUUAGAGACAACAAAGAGAGAUAAUAGGUGAUGCUAGAAAAUCAGUUGAAGCAAAAAUGCACAUAGUUUGACAAGCUGUGUUAAGGAUUUUGGUUUGUAUCUUAAAGGUGAUGGAAUUCAUGUCAGGC
rnacentral:lncRNA from 1 species